AGUACUCAAAAGUGUGGGUUUUGCUCUGAUAGACUGUUGACCAGAAGGUGGCGCUAUUGUGUAGAAGUUUAACAAUGUGACUUUCCAAUUGAUGGCGAGACACAAAUUGAAGUGGCAGGCAGAUUAAUGUCCUGCCCGUGAAUAACAGCAGCACCACAUCACGACACUCACGUGUGUUUUCACGAGCUUCUUCGUCUCUGUGCCUGCUUAUCCAGCUGAGCGGGAGAGGACAAGAUCAUCCAGCGGUGCGACAGUGAAGAGCAGAAUAAGGUAUGGAGGUCUGUCUUGGUGCUACACCAGAGGGGCAAACAUCGAAAUAGGAGUAUGGUUGUAUCUUCUGGCACUCUGUAGUGGUCUUCAGACACACAAAACAAAACGACACUUUACACCGAGGACAA